UGGGGAAUAUUGGACAAUGGGCGCAAGCCUGAUCCAGCCAUGCCGCGUGUGUGAAGAAGGCCUUCGGGUUGUAAAGCUCUUUUGUCCGGGAAGAAACGGCAAGUGAUAAUACCAUUUGUUAAUGACGGUACUGGAAGAAUAAGCACCGGCACACUACGUGCCAGCAGCCGCGGUAAUACGUAGGGUGCGAGCGUUAAUCGGAAUUACUGGGCGUAAAGCGUGCGCAGGCGGUUGUGCAAGACAGAUGUGAAAUCCCCGGGCUCAACCUGGGAACUGCAUUUGUGACUGCACGGCUAGAGUGUGUCAGAGGGGGGUAGAAUUCCACGUGUAGCAGUGAAAUGCGUAGAGAUGUGGAGGAAUACCGAUGGCGAAGGCAGCCCCCUGGGAUAACACUGACGCUCAUGCACGAAAGCGUGGGGAGCAAA
rnacentral:rRNA from 1 species